ACCCAACGAUUUUGUCAGGAUAUUCUAUUAGUAGUCCAUCACCAGUGAUAGAUUGCGUUUAUUUCUCAGUAUAGAUUGUCUGUUACAUCGUUGGAAGAUUGAAGAGCAUCGCCCGGCCAUGAUUCCCGUUUUGGGAUGCUUUGGUCAUCGAGACUUCGUUUUGAAGUGUCACUCCAGAUGUUUGGUGAAUUCUAUGAGUUGAACAUAGACUUUUGUGGCUUGUUCACAGUAAUCAAUGUCUUUGUUCGUAGUAAGAAAUCACACAUUC
rnacentral:snoRNA from 1 species